rnacentral:rRNA from 2 species
CACACUAUCAUUAACUGAAUCCAUAGGUUAAUGAGGCGAACCGGGGGAACUGAAACAUCUAAGUACCCCGAGGAAAAGAAAUCAACCGAGAUUCCCCCAGUAGCGGCGAGCGAACGGGGAGGAGCCCAGAGCCUGAAUCAGUGUGUGUGUUAGUGGAAGCGUCUGGAAAGGCGCGCGAUACAGGGUGACAGCCCCGUACACAAAAAUGCACAUAUUGUGAGCUCGAUGAGUAGGGCGGGACACGUGGUAUCCUGUCUGAAUAUGGGGGGACCAUCCUCCAAGGCUAAAUACUCCUGACUGACCGAUAGUGAACCAGUACCGUGAGGGAAAGGCGAAAAGAACCCCGGCGAGGGGAGUGAAAAAGAACCUGAAACCGUGUACGUACAAGCAGUGGGAGCCUCUUAAUGGGGUGACUGCGUACCUUUUGUAUAAUGGGUCAGCGACUUAUAUUCUGUAGCAAGGUUAACCGAAUAGGGGAGCCGAAGGGAAACCGAGUCUUAACUGGGCGUUAAGUUGCAGGGUAUAGACCCGAAACCCGGUGAUCUAGCCAUGGGCAGGUUGAAGGUUGGGUAACACUAACUGGAGGACCGAACCGACUAAUGUUGAAAAAUUAGCGGAUGACUUGUGGCUGGGGGUGAAAGGCCAAUCAAACCGGGAGAUAGCUGGUUCUCCCCGAAAGCUAUUUAGGUAGCGCCUCGUGAAUUCAUCUCCGGGGGUAGAGCACUGUUUCGGCAAGGGGGUCAUCCCGACUUACCAACCCGAUGCAAACUGCGAAUACCGGAGAAUGUUAUCACGGGAGACACACGGCGGGUGCUAACGUCCGUCGUGAAGAGGGAAACAACCCAGACCGCCAGCUAAGGUCCCAAAGUCAUGGUUAAGUGGGAAACGAUGUGGGAAGGCCCAGACAGCCAGGAUGUUGGCUUAGAAGCAGCCAUCAUUUAAAGAAAGCGUAAUAGCUCACUGGUCGAGUCGGCCUGCGCGGAAGAUGUAACGGGGCUAAACCAUGCACCGAAGCUGCGGCAGCGACACUAUGUGUUGUUGGGUAGGGGAGCGUUCUGUAAGCCUGUGAAGGUGUACUGUGAGGUAUGCUGGAGGUAUCAGAAGUGCGAAUGCUGACAUAAGUAACGAUAAAGCGGGUGAAAAGCCCGCUCGCCGGAAGACCAAGGGUUCCUGUCCAACGUUAAUCGGGGCAGGGUGAGUCGACCCCUAAGGCGAGGCCGAAAGGCGUAGUCGAUGGGAAACAGGUUAAUAUUCCUGUACUUGGUGUUACUGCGAAGGGGGGACGGAGAAGGCUAUGUUGGCCGGGCGACGGUUGUCCCGGUUUAAGCGUGUAGGCUGGUUUUCCAGGCAAAUCCGGAAAAUCAAGGCUGAGGCGUGAUGACGAGGCACUACGGUGCUGAAGCGACAAAUGCCCUGCUUCCAGGAAAAGCCUCUAAGCAUCAGGUAACAUCAAAUCGUACCCCAAACCGACACAGGUGGUCAGGUAGAGAAUACCAAGGCGCUUGAGAGAACUCGGGUGAAGGAACUAGGCAAAAUGGUGCCGUAACUUCGGGAGAAGGCACGCUGAUAUGUAGGUGAAGCGACUUGCUCGUGGAGCUGAAAUCAGUCGAAGAUACCAGCUGGCUGCAACUGUUUAUUAAAAACACAGCACUGUGCAAACACGAAAGUGGACGUAUACGGUGUGACGCCUGCCCGGUGCCGGAAGGUUAAUUGAUGGGGUUAGCGGUAACGCGAAGCUCUUGAUCGAAGCCCCGGUAAACGGCGGCCGUAACUAUAACGGUCCUAAGGUAGCGAAAUUCCUUGUCGGGUAAGUUCCGACCUGCACGAAUGGCGUAAUGAUGGCCAGGCUGUCUCCACCCGAGACUCAGUGAAAUUGAACUCGCUGUGAAGAUGCAGUGUACCCGCGGCAAGACGGAAAGACCCCGUGAACCUUUACUAUAGCUUGACACUGAACAUUGAGCCUUGAUGUGUAGGAUAGGUGGGAGGCUUUGAAGUGUGGACGCCAGUCUGCAUGGAGCCGACCUUGAAAUACCACCCUUUAAUGUUUGAUGUUCUAACGUGGGCCCCUUACCGGGGUUGCGGACAGUGUCUGGUGGGUAGUUUGACUGGGGCGGUCUCCUCCUAAAGAGUAACGGAGGAGCACGAAGGUUGGCUAAUCCUGGUCGGACAUCAGGAGGUUAGUGCAAUGGCAUAAGCCAGCUUGACUGCGAGCGUGACGGCGCGAGCAGGUGCGAAAGCAGGUCAUAGUGAUCCGGUGGUUCUGAAUGGAAGGGCCAUCGCUCAACGGAUAAAAGGUACUCCGGGGAUAACAGGCUGAUACCGCCCAAGAGUUCAUAUCGACGGCGGUGUUUGGCACCUCGAUGUCGGCUCAUCACAUCCUGGGGCUGAAGUAGGUCCCAAGGGUAUGGCUGUUCGCCAUUUAAAGUGGUACGCGAGCUGGGUUUAGAACGUCGUGAGACAGUUCGGUCCCUAUCUGCCGUGGGCGCUGGAGAACUGAGGGGGGCUGCUCCUAGUACGAGAGGACCGGAGUGGACGCAUCACUGGUGUUCGGGUUGUCAUGCCAAUGGCACUGCCCGGUAGCUAAAUGCGGAAGAGAUAAGUGCUGAAAGCAUCUAAGCACGAAACUUGCCCCGAGAUGAGUUCUCCCUGACUCCUUGAGAGUCCUGAAGGAACGUUGAAGACGACGACGUUGAUAGGCCGGGUGUGUAAGCGCAGCGAUGCGUUGAGCUAACCGGUACUAAUGAACCGUGAGGCUUAACCUU